GACAGAGGGUGCGAACGUUGUUCGGAAUUACUGGGCGUAAAGCGCGUGUAGGCGGCAACGCAAGUCGGGCGUGAAAUCCCACGGCUCAACCGUGGAAGUGCACUCGAAACUGCGUAGCUAGAGUCCUGGAGAGGAAGGUGGAAUGCUUGGUGUAGAGGUGAAAUUCGUAGAUAUUCGGAAGAACACCAGUGGCGAAGGCGGCUCACUGGACGACUGUUGACGCUGAGGUACGAAAGCGUGGGGAGCAAACAGG
rnacentral:rRNA from 1 species